CCUACGGGAGGCAGCAGUGAGGAAUAUUGGUCAAUGGCCGCAAGCCUGAACCAGCCAAGUCGCGUGAGGGACGACUGCCCUAUGGGUUGUAAACCUCUUUUAUAAGGGAAUAAUAUAUGCGACGUGUAGCAUGAUGCCUGUACCUUAUGAAUAAGCAUCGGCUAACUCCGUGCCAGCAGCCGCGGUAAUACGGAGGAUGCGAGCGUUAUCCGGAUUUAUUGGGUUUAAGGGGUUCGUAGGCGGUUUUUAAAGUUAGUGGUAAAACGUUGGGGCUUAACCUUGAUGUGCCAUUAAUACUGUAAGACUCGAGUUCAGACGAGGUAGGCGGAAUAAGUGAAGUAGCGGUGAAAUGCUUAGAUAUAACUUAGAACUCCGAUAGCGAAGGCAGCUUACCAGACUGCGACUGACGCUGAAGCACGAGAGCGUGGGUAGCGAACAGGAUUAGAUACCCUGGUAGUC
rnacentral:rRNA from 1 species